GACGAACGCUGGCGGCGCGCCUAACACAUGCAAGUCGAGCGAGAACCAGGGCUUCGGCCCUGGGGACAGCGGCGAACGGGUGAGUAACACGUGGGUAACCUGCCCUCGGCACCGGGAUAGCCCGGGGAAACCCGGAUUAAUACCGGACAGCCUCAUGAGCUCUCGGGCUCGUGAGAAAAGGUGGCUUCGGCUUCCGGCUGAGGAUGGGCCCGCGGCCGAUUAGCUUGUUGGUGAGGUAACGGCUCACCAAGGCGAUGAUCGGUAGCUGGUCUGAGAGGACGAUCAGCCACACUGGGACUGAGACACGGCCCAGACUCCUACGGGAGGCAGCAGUGGGGAAUCUUGCGCAAUGGGCGAAAGCCUGACGCAGCGACGCCGCGUGCGGGAAGAAGGCCUCGGUGUAACGAC
rnacentral:rRNA from 1 species